GCUUGUCUCAAAGAUUAAGCCAUGCAUGUUCAAGUAUAGCAAGUGUACAGUGAAACUGCGAAUGGCUCAUUAAAUCAGUUAUAAUUUAUUUGAUAGUGAAAUUGUACAUGGAUAACCGUGGCAAUUCUAGAGCUAAUACAUGCGUAAAUACCCAACUGCUUGUCGGACGGGUAGCAUUUAUUAGAUUGAAACCAAUGCAGCUUCGGCUGGUAUUGUGUUGAGUCAUAAUAACUGUGCGGAUCGCUUUUUAAGCGAUAAAUCGAUUGAGUUUCUGCCCUAUCAGCUUUGGAUGGUAGGAUAUGGGCCUACCAUGGCGUUAACGGGUAACGGGGAAUUAGGGUUUGAUUCCGGAGAGGGAGCCUUAGAAACGGCUACCACAUCCAAGGAAGGCAGCAGG
rnacentral:rRNA from 1 species